rnacentral:tRNA from 2 species
AAUUAAUGAACUUGUUAAAGUAUUUGUUUUGAAAACUUAAAAAAGAAAUAAAAAUUUCUAUUAAUUU